rnacentral:rRNA from 1 species
AGCCUACGGGGGGCAGCAGUGGGAAUAUUAGGCAAUGGGCGCAAGCCUGACCCAGCAACGCCGCGUGAAGGAAGAAGGCUUUCGGGUUGUAAACUUCUUUUCUCAGGGACGAAGCAAGUGACGGUACCUGAGGAAUAAGCCACGGCUAACUACGUGCCAGCAGCCGCGGUAAUACGUAGGUGGCAAGCGUUAUCCGGAUUUACUGGGUGUAAAGGGCGUGCAGGCGGGACUGCAAGUCAGAUUUGAAAACCACGGGCUCAACCUGUGGCCUGCAUUUGAAACUGUAGUUCUUGAGUACUUGAGAG